CAGUCGCCACGGGAAUACGUAGGUGGCAAGCGUUGUCCGGAAUUAUUGGGCGUAAAGGGCUCGCAGGCGGUUUCUUAAGUCUGAUGUGAAAGCCCCCGGCUCAACCGGGGAGGGUCAUUGGAAACUGGGAAACUUGAGUGCAGAAGAGGAGAGUAGAAUUCCACGUGUAGCGGUGAAAUGCGUAGAGAUGUGGAGGAACACCAGUGGCGAAGGCGACUCUCUGGUCUGUAACUGACGCUGAGGAGCGAAAGCGUGGGGAGCGAACAGGAUUAGAUACCCGCGUAGUCCCUGUCUCUUAUAC
rnacentral:rRNA from 1 species